AGAAAGGGGAGUGCGUGAGUGCUCAAGUCCGCGGAAGCCGUAAAUUAUUUUUGCACGCCGUACGGAGAGAAACAGGUUUCUUUUUCUUAUGUGUGUUUUUCACACGGAGAUUUAACAAAUUGGAUUUCUAUAUAAGAGUUGUAUUAGAUGCUAUAGGGAGUUAUAGUCUUCAUUUUUAGGGAACUCAUUACAUUUUUGGGUUCAUCACAUUGUGGUGGUUUAGGUAAGAUCAUUGUUACUCUUAGGGAGGUGAUAUUGGAGUUUUUUCAAUUUGUUGAGAACUCAAAUUUUGGGCAUAAACUUUAGUAUUGUAAACUCUAUAUUCAUUAUAGUGGAUUAAUCAGAUUUACCCUGUAGUUUUUUUCCUCUAUACUGGAGGGUUUUUCCUCGUAAAUUUGGUGUGUUUUCUUUCUACUUUUCAAGUGUUUGACAUAUUGCUUGUGUGAAUAAUGCUUCUAAUUGG
rnacentral:lncRNA from 1 species